GUAGAACCUGGCGGUUUUAAAAAAUGUAAAUGUUAGAAACGUUCAUGAUCAUUAUUACUAUCUAUAACUCUGAUGAAAACUGUAAAAUAUUAGUUUUUUUUUUAUUACACUUGAACGAGCGGCUAAAAUGUAAAGGGAAAAAAAACUUCCAUGUCACGUGACGUACAAGCCGGAAAAGGAGAAAUGAUUUCAGGCGUCUCAUGCACGUGCGGUAAUACCGGCGCCACUGUGUGGCUGAUUGCUCACUCUGAGCUGCAGCAGUGUGGAUAACAACACUGUCCAACACUAAAAUUAGUCACUUUAUCUACUCUAACCCGAUUUCUAGAGGCAGACAGUGAGAACUAAAUAAAUCUACUUUGUGCUACUGUUGUGGAAUUUCAAAGUGCGGUCUAUGAUUUCCCUCAGUUUGUAAAGAUCUGGGAGAAGCGCAUUAUAUCUAAUAUUAUGUCUAAUCUGAUCACGUGAUUUAGAUGACACUAAUGGUCGCACCAUUUAUACUGCUUUGCUUUGAUUGAAGUGAUUAGUUUCCAACAGUGAAGCAGAAAACAACAAAAGGUUCACUUUCAAAACUGAAACUAAUUAAGAACUAGCUGAAGAGCAGCAUAUAUGUGUCAGGGAAUAUUUAAUUGUUUGGCUAUACUCUCCAGUGAGUGUGUUAAUUAAAGAACAUCAUGGAGGACUUUGCUGAAACUAAUGGUCUUCAGAUGACUCACAAGGAUGACAAGGAUCACACUUCCCUUGCUGAACCAGUUCCACAUGUUCAACAGCACUGUGGCACCUGGAGAAAGGAGAUUGCGGAACACGUUCAACCUUACUGAAUGGCUAGCAUAAACAUGGAAAAUAUGCCUGGGUCAGAAUUUAAAUAAAUAGAUGUAAUCAUUGCACUUCAUCAGACAAGUAUUGAAAUGAUGAGAAAUACUUUUUUUUGUUUUGUUUAACAGCAAGUUUUUUUUGUUUUUUUUUUU